GGAAUCUUACCGGGGGCGACAGCAGGAUGAAGGUCAGGCUGAAGACCUUACCAGACGCGCUGAGGGGUGGUGCAUGGCCGUCGCCAGCUCGUGCCGUGAGGUGUCCUGUUAAGUCAGGCAACGAGCGAGACCCCCGCCCCUAGUUGCCAGCGGCCUCCUUCGGGAGGGACCGGGCAAACUAGGGGGACCGCCUCCGAAGAGGAGGAGGAAGGUGGGGGCUACGGCAGGUCAGUAUGCCCCUAAUCCCCCGGGCCGCACGCGGGCUGCAAUGGGCGGGACAGCGGGAUGCGACCCCGAGAGGGGGAGCUAAUCCCUCAAACCCGCUCGUAGUUGGGAUCGAGGGCUGCAACUCGCCCUCGUGAACCCGGAAUCCCUAGUAACCGCGGUUCUCCAUACCGCGGUGAAUACGUCCCUGCCCCUUGCACACACCGCCCGUCAAG
rnacentral:rRNA from 1 species